AUGGCCGGUGGAGGAGGGAAAGCCAAGCCGCUGGAGUUCACGCCGACAUGGAUAGUGGCGUCGGUCUGCUCCGUCAUAGUCAUCAUCUCUUUGCUCUUCGAGCGCUUGCUCCACCGCCUAGGCAAGAGGCUGAUGAGGAGCCGCAAGAAGCCGCUGUACGAGGCCCUCCUCAAGGUGAAGGAGGAGCUGAUGCUGCUGGGGUUCAUCUCGCUGCUGCUCACCGUGUUCCAGGGCCCCAUGGGGAAGCUGUGCGUCAGCCCGGGCACCAUGCACCACCUGCUGCCCUGCAAGCCGCCACCGCACAAGACGGACCACCUCGGCGGCGCCGUGUUCACCGGCGUGCUGGGUGGCGCGAGGCGGCUCCUCGCCGGAGGAGCCUCCUCCGACCAAUACUGUCUGAAGAAGGGCAAAGUUCCAUUGCUUUCAUCUGAAGCUAUUCAUCAGUUACACAUAUUUAUCUUCGUGUUGGCCGUCACUCAUUUCCUUCUCAGUGCUAUUACAGUUCUUCUAGGAAUUGCACAGACGAGGAAUUGGCGACAUUGGGAGGCCAAGAUCCAAGAAGAUGAUGGUGGUGCACCUCAAAUGAUCAAGCAUGUUAGAGAAUUCAAAUUUAUUCAAGACCACUUUAAAGGUCAUAGAAAACGGUCGAGGAUAUUUGGUUGGAUGCGCUCCUUCUUCAAACAAUUCUAUGGAUCGGUUACCGAGGAGGACUAUACAACAAUGAGACUUGGUUUCAUCAUGAAACAUUGUAAGGGGACACCAAAAUUCAACUUUUAUAUUUACAUGAUCAGAGCUUUGGAGUUUGAUUUUAAGAAGGUUGUUGGUAUCAGUUGGUACCUUUGGGCCAUGCUGAUGAUAUUCCUACUAUUGAAUGUUCAAGGGUGGUAUGUCUACAUUUGGAUAACCUUGGUUCCAUUCAUUAUGCUACUUGUGGUAGGAAGUAAGAUGGAGCACAUCAUUACGGAAUUGGCUUAUGAGGUUGCCCAGAAGCAUACGGCUAUUCGAGGAGAUUUAGUAGUUGCCCCUUCAGAUGACUUCUUCUGGUUCCAUAGGCCUAAAUUAGUCCUUCUGUUGAUCCACAUCGUCCUGUUUCAAAACGCAUUUGAAAUUGCAUUUUUCUUCUGGCUCUUGGUGACAUACGGAUUUAAAUCAUGCAUCAUGGGUAAACCAGCAUAUGUUAUUACUCGAAUUGUCAUAAGCGUAAUUUGCCAACUCCUUUGUGGUUACAGCACCCUACCACUAUACGCUAUCGUCUCUCAUAUGGGUACUUCUUUCAAGAAGACUAUAUUUGAUGACAAUGUGACUGAAGGCCUUGUAAACUGGGCUGAAAAGGCUCGGAGACGUACAAGAAGCCCAAACAAAAUUACUACAGAACCAAUUGACGAGGCAAAUGGUGGUGCAGUUCAAAUGACAAAUACACUGGCCAACUCAUCAGUGGAGCAAGGGACCGCUAGGCUGAUAUAA
rnacentral:rRNA from 1 species